UGAUUAUGCCUAUUUAAGAGACAAAUCAAAGCUCAGAGAGUUUAAGUGAUUUUUCCCUAUCUCACAGAAAUAAAGUCAGAAUUCAAAUGAUUCAGGGUAUGUAACUCCAAAUCCUAGGUUCUUCACUACACCAAGGUUUCUUCCUAAAAUCUUCUAAGAAAACUGAACGUAAGAAAAGAGGGUUGGUCUUUAAGGAAUAUUGCAAUGCUGAAUAGUGCGCUCAGCCUAUCAAGCUCAAGACUCUCAAGAUUCCAGGGUUAUGCUCCGCUAAAUCCACCGGAGAUGGUUUGGAAUAAAUGACAUGAAUUGAGAAGCCAAGGCAAUUGGAAGCUAAUGAUGUGGAACACACUUUAGCAGCGCUGCACUACCGUGAGGGCCGUGGCCUUUUCCGUGUCAACACCGAACAUUCGAGUGGAGCCUCAGAGGCACUGAGGCUGCCCCACUGCUGGGACUGGGGUGGGUUAGGAGGGGGAAACAGACUCCCUCUGAGCCAACGUGGAGACACAGUCAUCUCUUCUCCACUCAGGGUCUUCAAGAUCCGGUGUGUCUUUGCACUGACAGUAUGUCUCAGUUUGGAUUGGUCACAUUUCAUGUGCUCAGUAGCCACACUGGCUGGUGGCUGCCACACCAGACAGCGCAGCACACAAUGGUACUGAGAUCUGUGGGAUGGGGCAGGACGGCGUAAGACACAGAUGCAGGUGGAGGAGAGGAAAGAACAGAAUCAGAGAUGGAAAUGAAGACUCUCAAAUGUUUAGAAGUGAGGCAGAGAAGGAGGAUCCAGCAAUCAGAGCCUGAGACCAAGUGUCUAAUGAGCAAAUGAGAAGUGAGAGUGUGGAAGCCUAGAAGCACAAAGGACUUACUGCGUGCCAGGGACUGCAAGCCCCUCACCAGAGGCGGAGGGUGCCGUGUGUCAGCUGUUUGGGUUUACCCACCGAAGACAGAGCCUGCAAAGAAAUAUUGGAAGGUACAGCAGGUGAGCCCAGCACACACAGGAGUUCAUCGCCUUCGCCCAGAUCUGGCACACGGCCAAAUCAUCAUGCAGUCUCAAUCUGCCCACCCUCAGGGAAACGGGCAAGGCUGCCCAGGAACCCGUCCUUGGCUGCCCUCGGGCUGCUUUGUUUACGCAUGGUAGCCUGUCCACUGUGUGCCAGGCACGCACUCGGGGAUAGACACGUGGAUUACCUAUGGCCCAGCCUUCAGGGAGCUCCCAGCUUAGCAAGGAAGAAAGCCAGAAUGGAGUUGCAUCUCCGGAAGCAGCUAGGUAGAUCCUCACAUCAACAUCAAGAAGAAAAUCAAACACAAUCAAAAUUAUUCUUGGGGAAAAAAGAUCCCUCGGGGAGGUGGUACGUUGGCAUCUGAAAUGCAACCUCUCAAUAAACACAACAUAGCCAGUUUCCCUGCAGCACUGGAACAGAUGGCUGCUUCGUGGCUGAGCACCAGAGGAAGCACUUGGCUUGGCUUGUGUUUUGAGGUCAUGUUGUAUGAAAAAUAUGUAUCGUAGCUUUAAACACUGGUGUGUGAGAUGCUCCCAGCAAUAGAGGAUCCGAACUGGGAUACAAAUAUUCACAGAUUCACACCCCCGGGGCAUAUGUGUAACGUGGUGGGAACGACUGGCAAAAAUCACACACUUCACAUUGUUUUUUAUUAAAAGUUUUCUUUGAGCACCUGCAGUUGAAUUCGCUUGAGUUAUGACCAUACGACAGGACUCAACUGCAAAAAGACCAUUAUGAUGCCAUGUGGCAAGGGUGAUGUGCUUUCAGGGGAGGUGAAGCAGGUCAAAGAUGCAGCAGGAAUCCCUGCCCUCGGCUCCCAGAGCCCUAGAGAGGCCGGCAGGGCUUCCCGACUUUGCCUAGGCGAACAGUGAAGUGAAAGGAGAGCUGCGCUGUUUUGGGCUCAACCCCAACUUGCUUCUGGUCAUAAAGGGAAGGAGCGGGAGAGGCCCCGCUCCUGGAGGCCCCCUCUAAGGGCCUGCAAGGGAAGGAGGAGGCAGAGACCCAGCCACACUGGCCUCUGUAGAGAAGGUUCCGGUCCUGCCUCUGCCCACUCUCCGUGCCCUUCCUCCCUGGAGCCCCCCUGAAGACUCGGUGCCAGGCUGCCUGCUCAAGUCCAACCAGUCACUCACCCCAGCCCGGGUGGAGCCUUCCCCAGGCAGCUCCGUUAGUCCUGAGAGCCUCUCACUGGGAGCUGCUGUCCCUGGUCUUUAUGGGACCAUCCCAAUCUUCUUUCCUCCUCCCAGGGCCUGUAGGACAAGCCCACCCCAGCCCCGUCACCUGUUGCAGGCGUGCGUCUUGGGCUCAGCUCACUGGACCUCACUUGGUCUUUGCCUGCGGGCUCCAGGCCCCGCCAGCUGAGGCGGAGGACGCCUACCUUUCACUCCAGCUCCUUCGGGCAGCACCGGCCUGGCCAGCUGUGCCGACUCCCCUGCCCGAGGAGGAGAUAAAGCAAGAAUGCAGAGGGAGCCAGCUCCUGAUGCCCCCCGAUGACGCAGAUGACAUCUUGACUAAUUCACCCACUAGGGCCCCUCAUACAGACCCUUGGUUGGAUUUGCGGCCCCACCUAAGGAUCUGAAAGUGGGCUUUGGGACCAUACUCCUGCCCAGCUCAGGUGUCCCUAGACAAGCUGUCCACAGGUGCAAUGCCCCAGGAGGACCAACAGCACUCACUAUUCCAUGGACUUGGCCGAAUGGUUAUGACACUUACAGUAAACUUGCCCAAGAAAGGCGGGGCCUUUUUCGGCCUGAUCACCCCUCUUGACUUCCUGAGGCCUUAUAUGUCUCCCUGUUCUUAAAGGUUCAGCUUUGCCUCGCCUCCCCGUGAGAGGAGAGGGAAGAACAUGUCCCAGUUCCCCUCCUGCUGGGGCACAUCACCUCCCAGGCUUGCCCAUCAUUACAGACGGCAGAGGCCACUUCUGCUUGUUUGUAUGGGAUUUCCAUCUCUCACUGCCUCAUAAGGGGACAUGGGUACCAUGCAUAUGGCACAUUAAUGCCAUUCCAAUAAUUCCUUCUGAAUGGAAUUUCCAAUAAUUUUUGUUUCCAGCAGUCUUGUGUAUACAAAACAAACAAUAGAAAAAGAAAAAAUAGAUGAUGAAUUAAUUGUACAAUCACAAAAUUGCAAGUUCUUUGAAAAGUCCUCUGGGCCUCCUGCCUCAGACCUUCUCUGGCUCCCAGAGCCCAGAUAAAACCACCUGCCGCAAGAAGAGACUCAACCCCAUCUUUAGAACUAAAAAAAAUCUGGAGCAGGGGACUGCCACCUUCUUUGCUGAAAUCCCCAGCCAUCUGUCGUCAUGUUGUCACUCUUCAGCCUCUACCUUCAUUUCUCAUUAAAUUUUCUU